UGCAUCUUCAACAUUUUUUUGUCAUUACGUACGAUCUGUCACGUUUCACUUCUUCUACUGGAAUUUUUUAUAUUACGAAGUGCAUUUGAAGCGAUGUAUUAUUACGAGAAUGAGCAGAAACGUUUACACAAUCUUAUGGAACAAUGUUUGUUAACCAAUAUGUGGAAGCUGUAGUACCCUCACUUUAUUCUCCCCACCCUCCACCCUAGAAUAAGGUAGCGAGAGAGUAAGGGAAACGGGGUGGGGUGAAUAGGGUGGGGGAGCUACAACUUGUAUAUAAGGGUGAAACAAACCAACGACGUUUAGUCUUAAUGUUGACGUCACAGCGCUAACAUACCAGACACUUUCAUCACCACAAAACUAUAUUUCCAAGCCAUGGCUCUACAAAGAAGUUCAUCGCCAACCCGCACUGUGGAGACUUUCCCGCAAGAGGAACUCGAGUCCACCGGCAGGGAAUAUAGAAACUUCGUCAAAAAUUUCGAGAAGCCAGAGGAUUUGGCGAAAAUAAUGACGGUUAGAGGAGUUGGAAGGAUGCACCUCCCAGGAAUUAUUUCUGGAAAUUUGAGGCUCAGACAGACCUUAAUGGGGAGACAUCGACCGCAGGAGUGACUUAUAUCUUACAUUUGUUUUAGACUAGAUAUUUGAUAUAUUCAUUUUGUUUGUACAUAUAUAUUGUUAUUUUGUUUU